AAACAUGCCUCAACAGUCACCUCCCUACCACUAGGCACCAGCCACCCAAAAUGCUUUUUCCUGCUACACUUUGUACCACCAUCACCGUAGAAGACAGAGCCACCACAUACCUGCUUAAUAAAUUAAAAAUAAAGCAAGCCCUUGGCUUUGGGGACUGCAAGUGUGCAGGCUUGCUCGCAACUCUCAAAGCAAAGCUGUAUUUUGUAUAGUGCAAAAAGAAUUCCUCCUCUCUUUAUUACUCACCUCUUUCCCCUAAAACCCACAUGCUUUCCUAUUCUCUUAAUAAUAGUAAUCACAACCACCACCUCCUUCUCCACCGGCAGCAGCAGCAGCUGCAGCAGCAGAAGAGCUGUCUCCCUCUUUCUUGUUCAGAUUUUUAUCAAUCUUGAAAAGCUUGUCUCCUCUCCUCAAGUUCAAGAGUUGCUAUAAUAUUGAUUUCUAGUGAUUCAAGAAGUAAGCUAGAAACAGAAGAAGAUGAUCACAAUAACAGACUUUUACCAUGUAAUGACUGCAAUGGUGCCACUGUACGUGGCCAUGAUCUUGGCUUAUGGGUCAGUGAAAUGGUGGAAGAUAUUCACACCAGAGCAAUGUUCAGGGAUCAACAGAUUUGUUGCUGUUUUUGCAGUCCCAGUUUUAUCUUUCCACUUCAUCUCUCAAAAUAAUCCAUACCAAAUGGAAACCAAGUUCAUACUAGCUGAUACUCUUUCUAAGGUCAUAGUCCUUGUUAUUCUCUCAGUUUGGGCCAUUUUCUUUAAUGGAGGAUUGGAUUGGCUUAUCACUCUCUUCUCAGUUGCAACUUUGCCUAACACCCUUGUCAUGGGAAUUCCUUUGCUCAUGGCCAUGUAUGGAGAUUUCACUCAAAGCCUCAUGGUGCAAGUGGUUGUUCUUCAGUGCAUCAUAUGGUACACUCUUUUGCUCUUCCUCUUCGAGUACAGAGCAGCAACCCUCUUAAUCAAAACCCAGUUCCCAGGACCCGCAGCAGCCUCCAUUUCCAAAAUCGAACUCGACAAUGACGUCAUCUCCCUCGACGGCCGAGACCCACUCCGCACUGAAUCUGAAACCGACGGCAAUGGCCGAAUCCGAGUUCGCAUCCGCAGGUCCACUUCCUCUGCCCCGGACUCUGCCCUAUCAUCCUCCAUCUGCCUCACUCCUAGACCUUCAAACCUCUCCAACGCGGAAAUCUUUUCUGUGAACACCCCUGCACCAUUUUACGAGUACACUAUCAAUCCUAAUACCAAUAAUGGUUACACUCAUUAUAAUCAUGGACCAAACAACGAGAUAAUAAUAUGUAAUGGAGACUUGGGUUUCGGGUAUCGGUCCGGAACGAGUCCCAGAUUAUCUGGAUACGCAUCGUCGGAUGCUUACUCGCUGCAGCCGACGCCAAGGGCGUCGAAUUUUAACGAGCUGGACGUGACGAACGCCGCAGGUACACCAUACUGGGUCAGGUCUCCGGUAGCCGGUAAAUUUUUCAGGCAGCCUUCCCCGGCGGUUCCCGAGGUCAGGAUGGCGUGGGGAGAGUCUCCAGGAAAGGGUCAAAACUGCGGAGCCGGCGGUGUCAAAGAUAUUAAAGAAAAGGAAAUUAGCUUCAGAGACAGUUCCAAAACGGUGGCGCCUGAGGAGACAAAUUCAAAAGAAGCAGCAGCAACUAGCCAAGAAAUGCCUCGUGCCUUUGUGAUGCUGAAACUCAUACUCAUUGUAGUAGGAAGGAAGCUCUCUCGGAACCCAAAUACAUACUCUAGCGUCCUUGGCCUUCUCUGGUCUUUAAUCUCAUUCAAAUGGAAUGUGGGAAUGCCCAGCCUGGUUAAAUACUCUAUCAAAAUCAUUUCAGAUGCAGGACUUGGAAUGGCCAUGUUCAGUUUAGGUACGUAUAUAUAAAUUUUGUAUUCCUUUUACUAUUUUCUUCCUAUUCAGGAGUUUGAGUUCUAUUUAUAUAGACUGAAAUUAAUGUUAUCUUUAUUUUGUAUUUCAUAACCUUGUUCACCCGAACUUUAGUUCAAUGGUAUUUGAGUUAUAAACUGUGAAGUUCAGAGUCUCAAUCAAAGCUAAUUAUAUCCAAAAAUUGUUAACCAUAAUGAGAAAUGAGACCAAUCACAUGUAUCACUAAACAUAAGAGAGUGACGUGACAAAAACAUUACAGAGUAGUAACAUUAAUAGUUAUCAUGUUACUAACCCAUGAACGUCAAGCCCAAAAUUAGUUUAUCAACUUGGAAAUAAUAAUUUUCCUGUUAAAACCACAAUGAAAAUGACAUAUAUCCGUAGAAAUGCAGGCUUGUUCAUGGCCCUUCAACCUCGAAUAAUUGCAUGUGGCAAGAAAAAGGCGACAAUGGGAAUGGCGAUCCGAUUUAUUUGCGGUCCCAUAGUGAUGUCAGCCGCUUCUGUUGCCGUUGGUCUAAGAGGAGUCCGGCUACGCGCUGCUAUAGUUCAGGCAGCUCUUCCACAAGGGAUUGUACCGUUUGUGUUUGCAAGGGAAUAUGGAUUACAUCCUGACAUUUUAAGCACAGGGGUCAUUUUUGGGAUGCUAGUUUCUUUACCGGUAACGCUGCUCUAUUACAUAUGCCUAGGACUAUGAGGAGAAAAGGAAAGCUGGGUCAUCAUCAGUAAAAGAAUAUGAAGAAUCCAAAGCAUUAGUUCAUCCAUGGCAUUUGUCCCUACCUUGGUUGGGUGGAUGAUCCAGCCAUUAUAUAGCCUUCCAUUAGCGAGAUGAGUGGAGUUUUAUUUAAUUAUUGUAAACGUUUCUGUGCAGAUUGACUAGAAAAAGGGCUGGAGGUCCAAAAAAAAAAAGCCUAAAAACAUGGUGAGAUUAAUUAGAAAAUGUGACAAGAUGAUCAUAUUAGGUUAUUUAUAUAUGGUGAGGAUUAAUGUGCUAAUUGCCCUAAUACAUAGGCUAGUGGUAACCGAAAGGAAAAUGGAAAUUAUCAUGAGUUAUGAUGAAGGUGGGAGCUAGACUUGACUUGCUUUCAUGUUAGGAGGCGGGUAAAGUUGCUGCAUAUCUAAGAAUGUUUGACUCAACUAAAGAAUUUUCCUACUAUUAUAUAUGAAAAUUUAUAAGAGAGAAAGAGAGGCAAAUUUAUUGUAUAAUUUCUACUAUUGUAUAUUUCUACUUUGUUUUGGUGUCUUUUGAUGCUUUUAACAACCAUAACAAAACAGUUCUUGCUUCUAUAAAUCUUGGCCAUUUCAAGGGAAUUUGUUUAAUAUAUGAUGGCUUAGAAUUGAAGUCUUAUAGACAGGUUAAAAAGUUUGAUUUACUUUCUUGUUGCCAAUAUCUUAAAAGUAAGGAUGCAAUUGAAUUUCUAAGGGCUAAAGAAAGCUCACAUCCAAAAAGUUGUCCUAUCAAGAGGCUAAAGCAGUCUUGAAACAUUAUUAUUCAUUUUGUUAUUUCUCUGAAAAUGCUAGUAUAUGUAUAUACUUCCAAACCUAAUCCAUUUAAUUGGGAAUCUUUCAGACUACCAUGUUGGACUGUCAUAUUUAGAUAAGAUAUCAUCAUCUACCCAUGUAAAGUCAAAAACAUGCAAUGAUCGAAGACAUGCAGGCGGCCGUCUGUAUGCUAU
rnacentral:misc_RNA from 1 species